rnacentral:lncRNA from 1 species
GCACACUUUGUACAUUUUUCUCAUUCUUCCAUACAGAUUGGCUAUGUUGUUGGAUUUUUUCCAAAACCAUUUAAUCAGUUAUUUCAAGACUAUUCGAAAGAAGAUACUGACUUUCCAUCCAAACUGGUCCAUGUUCCACCUAGCCAUUUUCAUCUUGGACUUCAUUGUUUUGAAAUUCCCUGGAAAUCUAUCAUUAUUGUCUCCUUGGUAAUUUCUGCAUUUUCCAUUUUCUCCAGGAGGACUGGCCUUGCGGAGAAUGACAGAAAAGCUGAAGACACAAACAAUCUAGUGAAUGACCUUAUUCAAAGUCUAUAUGCUAAGCUUCCACCUGGAACAGAUCUGAAUGCCAAGAAUCAUGACUUGUCUACAGAGUAUCAUGAUGAAGCCAAGGAAGCCAAGUGGGAAGCCCUGAGGUCCAGCAUAUGUGAACUGGAAGAAGAUAAAAAGAACCUGGAAGAUAGCUGCCAUACAUUGAGCUCUGCAUUGGCAGAAAAGGAGGCUGACUACAAACUACUGAAGAUGACUUUGAAUAGUCUUUAUGAAAACUAUGCACAAAGAAAGAUGACCCUAACAAGGGAGCUGGCAAGGUGGCAACAGGAGCAGAUGGAGAGCAAGAGGAAGCUGUUAGAGAAAGAGGAAAACCUGAAACUGGCUGAAGAGGAGUUACAAAAAUACAAGAGAGAAAUUCAAGAACUGCAGGCACGGCAGGAGCGACAAAGGUCCAUGUUCAGAAACCAGGUAAUCUGCAUUCUGCCAGUCAUUGCAGAAUCCUCAGCCCCUUGUGCCGAUAACUACAGUGCCACUUAGAUCCCCUGGACUUAGCUGCUGAUGUGUGGACUUUUUCAGAUAGCCUUUUACACCCAGAAGGAUCGGGAAAACAGGGUAAGACUUUUUGAAGACUUUUUCUUUGUUGCCUUCUUUUGUGCCCAGUCUUCCACAGCUAACCAGGCAUGCGUUUUCCUCCCACAGCUCAGGGCCUGUGCUUUUGAGCAGGUGAUGGAAAGGAGGAAGGAGCUGGUCUACUUGCAGCACAGGUGCUGAAUGGGGUUGGCAUCUUCACGGGUGUCU